rnacentral:rRNA from 1 species
ACUCCCUACGGGGAGGCAGCAGUGGAGGAAUAUUGGUCAAUGGGGCGCAAGCCUGAACCAGCCAUGCCGCGUGCAGGAUGACGGGUUCCUAAUGGAUUGUAAACUUGCUUUUGUGACGGGAAGAAACACUCCUUCGUGAAGGAGCUUGUACGGUACCGUAAGAAUAAGGAUCGGCUAACUCCGUGCCAGCAGCCGCGGUAAUACGGAGG